GGUGAAAUCGGUAGACACAAGGGAUUUAAAAUCCCUCGGCCUUUAGGCUGUGCGGGUUCAAGUCCCGCC
rnacentral:tRNA from 4 species